GCCGGAGUGACGGAAUGGCAGACGUUGGGGACUUAAAAUCCUCUGGGUUUAAACACCCGUGCGGGUUCGACUCCCGCCUCCGGCACCA
rnacentral:tRNA from 1 species